CCAGUCGUCCGAAGAAAUUAGACCAAAAUUUGACUGGCGAAAAGAAGUCAACCCGCUGUUUUCAUAGGGUAUUUCUCACUUCUCUGUGAAAGGAAAACACACCCAAGCCCAGAGCCCUCCAGCGUCCGUGGGAGAUUCCACCGUGAAGUACAGGCGGAGACCACGUGAGCAGUGCGCAGUGAAUGUUUUCCCUACAAGACUUGCAAAGAACAAGAUGCUACACAAACUCUCAGAGAGAAAAACCAUUAACACUAAGAAGAAAAAAUCCCACUGAA